AGUCAAUAGAUACCCGGGUAGUCCUGGCAGUAAACGGUGCGCGUUUGGUGUGGGAGGAUUCGACCCCUUCUGUGCCGGAGCUAAACGCGUUAAACGCGCCGCCUGGGGAGUACGGUCGCAAGAUUAAAACUCAAAGAAAUUGACGGGGGCCCGCACAAGCGGUGGAGUAUGUGGCUUAAUUCGAUGCAACGCGAAGAACCUUACCUAGCCUUGACAUGCAUCUCUAAGUCGGUGAAAGCCGGCGACUGUAGCAAUACAGAAUUUGCACAGGUGCUGCAUGGCUGUCGUCAGCUCGCGUCGUGAGAUGUUGGGUUAAGUCCCGCAACGAGCGCAACCCCUGUGAACUGUUGCCACC
rnacentral:rRNA from 1 species